rnacentral:rRNA from 1 species
UGGGGAAUAUUGGACAAUGGAGGGAACUCUGAUCCAGCAAUUCUGUGUGUGUGAAGAAGGUUUUAGGACUGUAAAACACUUUUAGUAGGGAAGAAAAAAAUGACGGUACCUACAGAAGAAGCAACGGCUAAAUACGUGCCAGCAGCCGCGGUAAUACGUAUGUUGCGAGCGUUAUCCGGAAUUAUUGGGCUUAAAGGGCAUCUAGGCGGUAAGACAAGUUGAAGGUGAAAACCUGUGGCUCAACCAUAGGCUUGCUUACAAAACUGUUGAACUAGAGUACUGGAAAGGUGGGUGGAACUACACGAGUAGAGGUGAAAUUCGUAGAUAUGUGUAGGAAUGCCGAUGAUGAAGAUAACUCACUGGACAGAAACUGACGCUGAAGUGCGAAAGCUAGGGGAGCAAACAGG